AAUCAACGCUGGCGGCGUGCCUAACACAUGCAAGUCGAACGCGAAGACCCCGCAAGGGGUUUGUAGCGUGGCAAACGGGUGAGUAACGCGUGGGCGACCUACCUCUGAGUGGGGGAUAACCUUCCGAAAGGGAGGCUAAUACCGCAUGACAUCCCAUUUUUAGAUAGAUGGACAUCAAAGCCGGGGAUCGCAAGACCUGGCGCUUGGGAGAGGGGCCCGCGUCCGAUUAGCUAGUUGGGGGGUAACGCCUACCAAGGCACCGAUCGGUAUCCGGCCUGAGAGGGCGGACGGACACACUGGGACUGAGACACGGCCCAGACUCCUACGGGAGGCAGCAGUGGGGAAUUGUUCGCAAUGGACGCAAGUCUGACGACGCAACGCC
rnacentral:rRNA from 1 species